rnacentral:snRNA from 1 species
AUCGCUUCUCGGCCUUUUGGCUAAGAUCAAGUGUAGUAUCUGUUCUUAUCAGUUUAAAAUAAUUGUCUUUUCAAAGAUCUUCUUACACCAGCUAUUUGAUCAGGCGCUUGCACUACAAAAACUCAUACAAACCCCU